rnacentral:misc_RNA from 1 species
UCCGGUUUGUCACCGGCAGUCUCAUUAGAGUGCCCUUGCGUAGCAACUAAUGAUAAGGGUUGCGCUCGUUGCGGGACUUAACCCAACAUCUCACGACACGAGCUGACGACAGCCAUGCAGCACCUGUGCACGAGUCCCGAAGGAGGCCCCUGGUUUCUCAAGAGUUUCCCGUGCAUGUCAAGCCUAGGUAAGGUUCUUCGCGUUGCGUCGAAUUAAACCACAUGCUCCACCGCUUGUGCGGGCCCCCGUCAAUUCCUUUGAGUUUCAGCCUUGCGGCCGUACUCCCCAGGCGGGGCACUUCAUGCGUUAGCUACGGUACCAAGGAAUCCGUCGAUAGAACCCCACACCUAGUGCCCAACGUUUACGGCGUGGACUAC